GAUGAACGCUGGCGGUGUGCCUAAUACAUGCAAGUCGAGCGAACGGACGAGAAGCUUGCUUCUCUGAUGUUAGCGGCGGACGGGUGAGUAACACGUGGAUAACCUACCUAUAAGACUGGGAUAACUUCGGGAAACCGGAGCUAAUACCGGAUAAUAUUUUGAACCGCAUGGUUCAAAAGUGAAAGACGGUCUUGCCGUCACUUAUAGAUGGAUCCGCGCUGCAUUAGCUAGUUGGUAAGGUAACGGCUUACCAAGGCAACGAUGCAUAGCCGACCUGAGAGGGUGAUCGGCCACACUGGAACUGAGACACGGUCCAGACUCCUACGGGAGGCAGCAGUAGGGAAUCUUCCGCAAUGGGCGAAAGCCUGACGGAGCAACGCCGCGUGAGUGAUGAAGGUCUUCGGAUCGUAAAACUCUGUUAUUAGGGAAGAACAUAUGUGUAAGUAACUGUGCACAUCUUGACGGUACCUAAUCAGAAAGCCACGGCUAACUACGUG
rnacentral:rRNA from 1 species